AGCGAACGCUGGCGGCAGGCCUAACACAUGCAAGUCGAACGGAUCCUUCGGGAUUAGUGGCGGACGGGUGAGUAACACGUGGGAACGUGCCCUUUGGUUCGGAACAACUCAGGGAAACUUGAGCUAAUACCGGAUGUGCCCUUCGGGGGAAAGAUUUAUCGCCAUUGGAGCGGCCCGCGUCUGAUUCGCUAGUUGGUGAGGUAACGGCCGACCAAGGCGACGAUCAGUAGCUGGUCUGAGAGGAUGAUCAGCCACACUGGGCCUGAGACACGGCCCAGACUCGUACGCGAGGGAGCAGUGGGGAAUCUUGCGCAAUGGGCGAAAGCCUGACGCAGCCAUGCCGGGUGAAUGAUGAAGGUCUUAGGAUUGUAAAAUUCUUUCAGCGGGGACGAUAAUGACGGUACCCGCAGAAGAAGCUCCGGCUAACUUCGUG
rnacentral:rRNA from 1 species